AUACAGAGGGUGCGAGCGUUAAUCGGAAUUACUGGGCGUAAAGCGCGCGUAGGCGGCUUGGUCAGUCGGAUGCGAAAGCCCCGGGCUCAACCUGGGAAUGGCAUUCGAUACUGCCAGGCUAGAGUAUGGGAGAGGGAAGUGGAAUUUCCGGUGUAGCGGUGAAAUGCGUAGAUAUCGGAAGGAACACCAGUGGCGAAGGCGACUUCCUGGCCCAAUACUGACGCUGAGGUGCGAAAGCGUGGGGAGCGAACAGGAUUAGAAACCCUAGUAGUCC
rnacentral:rRNA from 1 species